UACGUAGGGGGCUAGCGUUGUCCGGAUUUAUUGGGCGUAAAGAGCUCGUAGGUGGUUCGGUAAGUCGGAUGUGAAAUCUCCAGGCUCAACCUGGAGGGGUCAUUCGAUACUGCCGUGACUAGAGUUCGGUAGAGGAGUGUGGAAUUCCUGGUGGAGCGGUGAAAUGCGCAGAGAUCAGGAGGAACACCGGUGGCGAAGGCGGCGUUCUGGACUGCAACUGACACUGAGAAACGAAAGCCAGGGUAGCAAACGGG
rnacentral:rRNA from 1 species